UUGAACUGAAGAGUUUGAUCCUGGCUCAGAUUGAACGCUGGCGGCAUGCCUUACACAUGCAAGUCGAACGGCAGCACGGGUGCUUGCACCUGGUGGCGAGUGGCGAACGGGUGAGUAAUACAUCGGAACAUGUCCUGUAGUGGGGGAUAGCCCGGCGAAAGCCGGAUUAAUACCGCAUACGAUCCACGGAUGAAAGCGGGGGACCUUCGGGCCUCGCGCUAUAGGGUUGGCCGAUGGCUGAUUAGCUAGUUGGUGGGGU
rnacentral:rRNA from 1 species